CGGGUGACUGGACUGGGCGGAGGCAGCUGGCGGUGACGCGGCUGCGACCCAAUCCCAGCCUGGGGCCCAGAGGCGCAGCCCGCGGCCUACGCAGCGGGGGAAGGGGGGUGGUGGGCCCGGCCCGCUGGCUUGCCUGCAGGCGUUCACCAGCAGAGCAGCGUCCCAAAUUCUUGUCUCUGCCCGGAGUCGCCCGGAGUUCUGCAGCUCCUGGAGGCUUUUCUGGACCAUAAAAGGGAAAGGGGAGGAGGCAGCUGCCCGGUGGCGUCUGAUCGUCUGUUCAAGUCUGUUCAGCCAGUGAAACAGGUACAAACAGACAAUCGCAAGGCCGCGCCAUGAGCUAGCAAACCACCAGGGUGCCUGGUGGGAGCCUAGAAGGAGCUGCCGACAGAAGCCAGGAUUUUUCCGGAGCCUGAGUCCUGGGGGUCUGGGGUAGCCGAGAGGAGCCUGAGACUCAGGAAAUUAAAGAGGAAGAAGGCUUUCUUUCAGUAGAAGAGGAGAAAUUCCAUUUAACCUCUGCGUCCACUAUGCAGGGACCACUCUCCCUCCCAGCCUGGCGCCAACAAGCACCCAAGGGCAUGUUAACAGGAGCCAGGAGUUGGGAGCGGAGCCUCAGCCCUGGAACAAGUGAGGACAGACAGUUCAAGAUACAGCAUGGAACCUGGCCUUUGGGUUAACCAGUUUAUCCUGAUAUGCUACCAUAACAGGUUAAAAUUUGUGCUUUGCUGGCCCUUUCACCCAUGUUACAUGAACCAUCUGUUAGAGCAAAGCUUGAAACAGCAGUGGCCUUUUGACAGGUAGUUAUCUGAAGCGUGUCUCUGCCCUAUUAUGGAAAAUGGGUUUUUUUGUUUAUUCUUUCAUCUCAAUUUUUAUGGAUAUUUGCACUUUAAAAAUUCUGAA